CCAAUAGCGUAUAUUAAAGUUGUUGCAGUUAAAAAGCUCGUAGUUGAAUUUCGGGAUCAGUACGCCGGUCGUGCCUUCGGUAUGUACUGGUGUCACUGAUUCCUCCCUUCUGACGAACCGUUAUGCCAUUUAUUUGGUGUGGCGGGGAAUCAGGACUGUUACUUUGAAAAAAUUAGAGUGUUUAAAGCAGGCUCGCGCUUGAAUACAUUAGCAUGGAAUAAUGAAAUAGGACGUUUGAUUCUAUUUUGUUGGUUUCUAGGAUCGACGUAACGAUUAAUAGGGAUAGUUGGGGGCAUUAGUAUUCAAUUGUCAGAGGUGAAAUUCUUGGAUUUAUUGAAGACUAACUACUGCGAAAGCAUUUGCCAAGGAUGUUUUCAUUAAUCAAGAACGAAAGUUAGGGGAUCGAAGACGAUCAGAUACCGUCGUAGUCUUAACCAUAAACUAUGCCGACUAGGGAUCGGAUGAUGUUAAUUUUUUAAUGACUCAUUCGGCGCCUUACG
rnacentral:rRNA from 1 species